GGCGACCGCCGGGGGCGCUGUGGUGCACCGUCGCGGCCGGGGGAGGCACUCUGGGCUUGCGGCGUCGCUGCUGCUUCCGCCUUCCCGGCAGCCCCUGCUCGGCGACCUUUCUCAGUCCGGUGCGGGUUCGUGGUGCUCCCUGAGCUGUGUUUCCUGCGCCAAGAUGUUUCAAAAUUUUGUUAAAAAUAUGUGGCUCCCCUUGAAACCCUACUAUACCCAAGUUUACCAGGAGAUUUGGGUCGGAAUGGGGCUGAUGGGCUUCAUCGUUUAUAAACUCCAUGCCGCCGAUAAAAGAAAUAAGGCUGCGAAAGCUGCAGCGCCUGCUCGUGAGCAUCAUUAACCAGCUUACUUGGAGUACCUGUGAAGGAAAACGUCAGUCUGCCUGUAAAUUUGAGCAAGCCGUGUUAGAUGGGGCGCGAGGAACAUCACUGUACACUUGUAUGAGUACCGUUUACUUCCUGGCACGAAUAAAUGGACCUGUGAGAUGCUCUGCUACCUGGUACUGCUUUCACUGUCUUCCCCGCUCAGCCCCCUCCGGUGCGUCAGGCCUACUCUUUGCAGAUCAUCUGUCAUGCAGCAGAUGCAGUGAGAGUCUCGCUGAGCCACCCAUCAUUAUAAACAAUUAUCUCAGUUGUCACGGGGGCUAGUGAUCAGGAUCCAGGCACUCACUGCCCAAUAAAUGUGUAUGAAACUCAAUCCUGCUACUUGUGACCACUCUGAGUCUCUGCUUCCUUAUUUGGAAAAUGGAGAUGUUAAUUAUGUAAGCUCUGAGUUACAGUUAGGAGGAUAAAUAAGAGAAAGAUUUAAACUAGGAAAUAUUUUAGAAAUAAGGUAGCAUUUGAUGACGUAGUUGAGAUUAUAAGCUCUAGGAGAAAAAUGCCUCAGGAAAUAAUCACAAGGCAAAGGACAUAAUAAGGCCAGGUGAAGAAAGAAAGCCAAUUGAUUCUAGGUAGGCCAAAAUCAAAUGCAUGCCGCGAAUAUUUAUCUCCAUCUAAGACAGUUACCAAGAUCCCGAAAAUUGUGUGCUAAAAAGAUUCUAAAGCAGCAAGCAUGGGGUAAAGGUGAGUUUGGUUUUAAAUCUGGCACUCGCAGGUGGGCAGGGGAGCAGCUGUGGAAUGGGCAUGAUGGCUGCACCCUGGGUGUCCUGUCCUCUUGAGACCAUCCUGUUUCUCAUCUGUAUGGCAUUUGGCUUCUUUAGGUCUGGCUCAUGGUAGGUGCCCAGCAGAUGACUGGGAUCUCUCUCAGCCUCAGUUGCUUUUGUAAGACAACCAAAACCUGCCGUGUCUUUCUCCAGCAGCCUCAGCAUUGUUGGACUGUGAGAAGUGUGCAGGAAAGCAUGACACAGCCUCAGUGGAAGUCAGCAUCGGUUCGUGUGACAUUCAGAGGGUUUGGAUUCACAUUCUUCCUGCUAACGCAUUUGGUUGUCUUCUGCCUCCAGAAAAUGAAUCUGCUAUGAUACAGAAAGGCCCUACCUUUAAAAUUAUCCGUCUGCCCAGCUGUUCAGGCUGGAGGCUGCAUUAGAAUCACCUGGAAGGCCAUGCCGCAGCUGGCUGGGCCCCGUGCUUCUGAUUGCACUGCUCUAGGAAGGAGCCUGAGAACUUGUAUGUCUAACAGCCGUCAGGACGUGUGGAUGCCAGGAGCCCCGCUGGAAAAUUUCUAAUGACACAAAGAACCCAGGCCUGCCCUCCCACAGCCCUGGUACCCACUGCAACGGCCCCAGGCUCAGCCCUGUGUCAAGUCUCAGCACGUGUAGUCCACCUUAGUGAGGCAUCAGUAUCGGCCUUGACUUUCAGAACAGGAAACGGGCUGAGGGGCAGAAACACGCCGAAGAUGUUGCAAUUAGCAAGCACUGGGGCUGGGGCUGCACCCCAGGAGCCUGCAGUCUCGCCCAGAGGGAGGUGAGGACAGGCAGGAACAGACGUUGAUGUGUGACCCGGGAGGGCUGCCCCACAAAGCCUGGGCCGUUCCUCUUCUCCCUUUACCACUUAAGGGUUCCUUCGACAAAUUACCAGGGUAGGCUGGGCACAGUGGCUCACGCCUGCACUUUGGGAGGCUGAGGCAGGCAGAUCACUUGAACCCAGGAGUUUGAGAUCAGCCUGGGCAACAUGGUGAAACCCCAUCUCUACAAAAAAGCACAAAUAUUAGCCACACAGGGUGGUAUGUGCCUGUAAUCCAGCUCCUGGGGAAGCUGGUGCAGGAGGAUUGCUUGAGCUCAGGAGGUCAGGACUGCAUUCCAGCAUGAGCAACAAAGCAUGACCCUGUCUCAAAAAGGAAAAAAGCUCUGUUUGCCAUCCCAGAACCCGCCUACACUGAAUCCCUCGGGCUUUGAAAACAACCAGGUCUUAUCCCAAAGGCAGCCUGUAGGUGGAGCCAGACGAUGUCACCUGGGCUUCCCUGUGAGCAUGGAACUCGGGGCCCCAGGGAGCUGUUUAAAGGAGCAUUUGGGGGGCGGUGCCAGUGGGUAAGAGGUAUGCGCAGUGAGCCCCGGGAGUGCACAGGGGACAGCCAAUCCAGGAAGGAAUCCCAGAGGCUUUUUGUCCCAAAGCCUACACAUUCUCCUCCUCUGACUUAAUGCAGUGCUUUACAAAGUGUGCUACAAAGUAGCCCCAGAGGCUGGGAGGAGAGAGUGGCUCCCGGGCAGCUGAAGGUGUCAUUGUGAACCCUGUGCUCUCAAGUGAGCCUCUCGGGGAGGCAUGGUGUUUCUUCCUGCUCGUCACCAUGUAUCCCAGGAGUGCACACACCCCAGCCAGAGCCUUUGGAGGCUGUGCUUCCUGCCAUCCUUAAGGGGGUCCUGUAUCUGUAGAGGAACCAGAUAGAGUUCCGGGGUACCAGGCCAUGGUCUGCUUCAUAUUUAUCUACACAAUAUUCCGUGAGCUCAUACUGUCACCCGACUUCGCAGCUGAAGAAAUGGAGGCCCAGACAGGAAAUGCAGGUGCAGGCCGAGCGCGGUGGCUCACACCAGUAAUCCCAGCACUUUGGGAGGCCGAGGUGGGUGGAUCACCUGUCAGGGGUUCAAGACCAGCCUGGCCAACAUGGUGAAACCCCGUCUCUACUAAAAAUACAAAAGCUAACUGGGCGUGGUGGCACACACCUGUAAUCUCAGCUACUCGGGAGGCCGAAGCAUGAGGAUCGCUUGAACCCAGGAGGCAGAGGGUUGCUGUGAGCUGAGAUCGCACUAUUGCACUCUAGUCUGGGCAACAGAGAGAGACUCCAUCUCAAAGAAAGAAAACACAAGUCGAAUAAUUAAAAAACCAAAUUUGAGCAUUUGGUAUUUGGGUGUCUUUGAAGCCAUCAAAAGAAGAGCCGAAGGUUUAGGCAGCUCAGAGUUCCAGCAGUGAACCUCAGCCUUGGCAUUCUUGUCACCAAAGGACCAGCUGAAGCCAGUUAACCAAUGCUGAAGUUACCGAGCUGACGCAGAGCCAGAAUUGCCCAGGUGUGCGCAAUGGGAAACGCUUCCACCUCAUCCUUACCAGCUACGCUGGCAUCACCUGGGACCUGCUAGGAGUGCCAUAAAAGCCAGACCCACCCCCAGCUCAGGGACGCAGAAUUAAGCGUUGCCUCCUGUCUCCUUGCAGUCCAUUAGAAAUAAAGCUUUUUCUUUUGUCAAAA